rnacentral:rRNA from 1 species
UACGUAGGGUCCGAGCGUUGUCCGGAAUUACUGGGCGUAAAAGAGCUCGUAGGCGGUUUGUCGCGUCUGCUGUGAAAACUGGAGGCUCAACCUCCAGCCUGCAGUGGGUACGGGCAAACUAGAGUGCGGUAGGGGGAGAUUGGAAUUCCUGGUGUAGCGGUGGAAUGCGCAGAUAUCAGGAGGAACACCGAUGGCGAAGGCAGAUCUCUGGGCCGUAACUGACGCUGAGGAGCGAAAGCAUGGGGAGCGAACAGG